rnacentral:rRNA from 1 species
GGGCCCGCACAAGCAGUGGAGUAUGUGGUUUAAUUCGACGCAACGCGAAGAACCUUACCAGGUCUUGACAUCUGCCGGACCCGGCUGAAAAGCCGGGGUGCCCUUCGGGGAACGGCAAGACAGGUGGUGCAUGGUUGUCGUCAGCUCGUGUCGUGAGAUGUUGGGUUAAGUCCCGCAACGAGCGCAACCCUUAUGAUUAGUUGCUACGCAAGAGCACUCUAAUCAGACUGCCGUUGACAAAACGGAGGAAGGUGGGGACGACGUCAAAUCAUCAUGCCCUUUAUGAUCUGGGCUACACACGUACUACAAUGGCCGUAAACAAAGGGACGCGAAACCGCGAGGCGGAGCGAACCCCAUAAAGGCGGUCACAGUUCGGAUUGCAGGCUGCAACUCGCCUGCAUGAAGCUGGAAUUGCUAGUAAUCGCGGAUCAUCAUGCCGCGGUGAAUACGUUCCCGGGCCUU